ensembl:snoRNA snoRNA:SC35-b
AUUAUUUGCUAUCAUCGAUUGUGUAUCAGUUGCUAAUCUGUACACUUUCAGUAGCAAAAUGGUGCCAGAACAAAUGUGUUCACUUGCAACCGUUGCCUACUCAACAUUUACUAGCCAACGUACAGAGAAUACUACAUCUAAAUAAUAAGUUCUAAA